CCAAGCGGAAGGCGCUCAUUGGCUGGGGAGGCCGCUGUCAGGGGGGAAGGGGCGGCUAGGCCAUUCUGGAAGUUUCCAUGGUUACCGGGAGAGCCCAAGGGGCAGAGUCCUACCUCCCCCCCCCAGUGGUGGGGGUGUGACGUCAGAAGAGUGACCUGUGACCUCAUUCCUGUGCAGCCAGGUGGCAUGGCCCAGGGCGUGAGGGCGCGGCCGGCCCCUCAACGCCCAGCUGGCGCAUCCCGCCCCCACCCUGCGUUCACCCGUUGGCUGCACCCCGAAUGUCGACCGCCGCCCGGUGCCCGGCCAUGCCGCGGCUUCCUCCUGGAGUCGCCCGUCUCGACCCCCAACCCCGACUCGGGUCCUAGAGGCUCCGUCCUCGUAACGGGAGCCACGACGCCUGACCCCCUUGAAAUCACCCGCGCUGUCGAGCGCGGCGCGUGACCCGGCUCGCUGCCCCACCUCGGGGAAAAUCGAUGCUUGAAAAGUUUCAGGUGUCAAAUCAAAGUCUUUGGAAAGGGGUACGCGACUGGAAACGGGCGGGCGGUUGAAAACCACGCUCUCGUCCUGCGGAGGGACGCCCGCUCGGAGACUCGCCAGACCUAACGGUCUGCAAGAAAGAGCCGCGCAAAGUUAUAUUCGGGAAGAAUGACCCUGUCGAGCAGCGAGCGAGCGCCGGGAAUGAGGAGACGGGCUUGUCGCAGAAGCUAAACGCGGACAGCGGAAAGCGCUCCGGCCGCACGUAGCACCAGGUGAGAUGGUCGCAGCGUGCCGCGCUCAGAAGUAAACGUCGACUUCAUUUAUCCUCUUUCACGGCCUGAAAGUCUCCACAAAGGCACACGCCCGUCCUCUUUCGCUCUCACGCGUGCCUGCACAGGUGUGCCUUGCCCUAAAGCCCCAUGAGCGCUCAUGAAGAUUUAAGGGAGAGUUUGUUAUUGAUACAUAUAUUUUUUAAGUACCGUGUUGCUUACAGAACAUUGUUUGCAACGGUGUAUGUCGUUGCUCGCAAUACAUACGUGUCCGUAAGUGUGUGUGUAGGGAGAGAAUAUUUGUACCGUGUUGCGAACGUGUAAAACACAGUACGACACUCAUAUAUUAUUACAGGAACUAUACGUCUUCUUAGGUAAGUUGCACCCUGCAUACGUUAAAAUAUUUGUUACAGCGUUAAGUGAAGUAUAUAAGUUUAACGGCUAAGAGCCCAUCAAGAGAGACGAGGACCAUACAGUGCUAUACCUGCAUCUAUGCAUAGAUACCAUUUUCAUUCUCUUUUGAAAUCUCCUUUUAAGCCUUCAUUUGACUAAGUCUCUGGUUUGGGAGGUUUCUGGUUUAGCUAAAUGAAUGUUAUAUUUCAUUCUCUCUGUCAUUAUUUAUUUCUGCUGUCUGUUCACAUGUUUGUUGAUUUAAUCUUUUUCAGAAACUUUAGGUUAAUGAUGGAAGUCGCUGUAUCUAACCUUUGGAGCAGUGGCUGUGAACCGGGGGUACGUGAAGCCUCCUCGGGGGGUGCGUGAGAUAUAUUUCAUACAUUGUCUAACACAGGUCGAAGGGCCUAAAAACUUAAUUUCCCAUUGCAAGGGGGUACAUGAAGUCUCACUCUGAGCCCAAGGGCUACGUCGACUGAAAGAGGUUCAGAACCGCUGCUUCAGAGGAACGUUCUCUCUUGGUGUGUGCAUCUCCCAGGAGUUGGUCCUUUUCAGGGUACUUGUCUUCUCUCCUCAGCAAACGUUAUGUAGAUAAGCGUGCUGUAUUCCUCUUCCUAAAUCGCAUGCUGGGGCUUGAUGAUGCUUGUUCAGUUCCCUAGAGGGAGCAAUAUCAUAAUGCCAGCGGAUAUUCUGGGUUACUGUUGCUUGGAAUACAAGGUGGCAACUGGCUGUGUUGUACCUGAUCUUAUCAGGGUAUCAUUUGCUCCGUAGUUUUGUUUGACUACUAUGUCUGGUCAUUUUGUUCUAUUUAUUACAUUUUUUUCUAAAAUAUUACCCCAAAGCAUUUUUCAGAUAUUUAAAAAUAAUACCAAUUAAUGAGGGUUUCUUCCCCAGAAAAAAGCCCAAAGUUAAGAGGUGAUGAGUUCACAAGAAGACUGGCACAGAGCGCUUUGGUGGUGGUGGACAUAGUUAUGGAAAACCAUUGUCCAUCAUAGCAGGUGGCUUGCAUGGAGAACUCCAAGAAUAACCCAGGUACCGCUCUCUCAUGGCAGUCAGUCUGCCCCAAUGCUCCAGUGUCCUAGGGGAUGUCAGUCCUACGGGGUGUUAUGCCAAUAUUUGUGAAGAGCACUGAAGUCCUUGAGCAUAAGGUUCUUAGUGUUAAGUGAUCUUAUUAUUCAUAUAUAAUUAUUGCUAGCGGUUCCAUCCUUAAAUAAGGCUGGAAUAGAGAUGCUGAAAUAGAGAUACUGACUCAGAUACAAGGAUUAAAAAUCCCUCCACCUUUUCAGAAGAGUAGAUGUUGCCUUGACCAAAUUUCAUGUGAAUUCAUACAUUCCAGCAGCCUGAAUUCUUCCUGCUGUUUUAACUAGGUGCAAGAUUCACUUUGGGAAGGAAGGAGGGAUGCUGUCAAGGGAUUAAGCUGAGGUUUGGGGUUCUGAAUUCUAUCCCUUGCUAUAUGAAUAAUUUCCCUUGUGAUCGUUCUUAAACGAUUUAAUCAUCUCAGGCCUCAGCUUCCAUCUGUAAAAUGUUGCUGACAAAUACUUUUCUAUCUCACAGGGCAGUUUUGAAGUUAAUUUAAUGUCGUAAAGCUCUUCAACUCCUUGGAUGAAAGGUGCUAAAGAAGGGGGAAGUAACAUACUAGUAUUAUUAUCGCAGUCUGGUUAUUACUUAUGUCCUACCCAGAACAAUUACAAAGUGCGGGUGUUCACUAUUAAACAGCUGCUCUGUUCCAUUCCAGAGGUAACAGAGCUGACUAAUCCUGCCUUCCGAAGGGUCCCAGACCAUUAACAGCACCACUCCAAUGUCUGCUGUCCGCUAUAUGGCUCAGGCUGUUAAAGACAAGAUUUUCUCCACUAUUUGUAAAAGCACUCAGAGAUAAAAGGUGCAAUGGAAAUGUAGAGAUUAUUGAAAGGUAUCAUAAAGAGGACUGCUGGUUAGCUAAGUGGCUCUGCAAUAGACUUUACCUGUAUAGAGGCAGAAAACAGAAAUGUGAUCUGUAAUGAACAACUGAUUUUUCACACUUCUUUUAUAUUUAAGGGAAACAUGACAAAAGCCAGUCUACCAGCACAGGAGACUGUACUUGUUAUCCUCCAGUCACUUCACCUCAGGGAGAGGUCUUUUCUGGACCGUGUCCCCAGUUCAGAGAUGAGUUGCUUUUCAGGGUGCUAGUUCUUCCUACAACCCAGAUGUCUCCAAAAAUAGAUGGGAGCCAGGGGAAAGUGAGCAGAACAGGUGGGUUAGCAAGUGCUAAAUAAAGAAGGUGUUACGGUUGCCAUUUAAAAUCACCGUAGUUGGGGGAAGGGAAGGAAGAGUAUAAAUCCACUGACUCGGGUGGAAGGAAGCGUAUUGAAAAAACAAACACAAGAUAUGCAGAUGCACCAUGUAACACAAGUUAAAAAAUGUAGUUUGCUCCUAACUGCUGCAGGUAGUCUCAGUUUCCGUUAUAAGACAAGAUUUCAUAUAUUCAGCCUUUCCAAAUUGAGAAGGAAGAGCUAGUUCCUGGUCAGGUCUGUCUUUUAAGCACUACCUGUCAGAACCUGAUCUGUUAUAACUUAUUUAAAAGUAACAGGAUCAAGCUGCCUCUUCAGAAAAAAGUGAGGAUGUCUUGCUUCUAAAGUCAAGAAACACUGAGCUACAGGAAUAGUAGCUGGAAACGUCACUCACUUGAUUCAACUGUCUCAAAUCUUGCCCUUUACUGUACUGUAAGUGAUAAAGCUCUCUAUGCCACUUCCUCACCCACCCAAAGAGGCUGCUGCAGAGGUCUGCAUGGCUCGCUCUCUCCUAGCUUGAAAAACACGUAUUAAAAAUAAUUUUCCAAAUACUGAUUAAUUAGACAAAGUAAUUUGAAGAACUUUUAUCCUGUCUGAAGUCCUGGUUCACCCAGAUUUACAAUAUCUAAAGAUGCACUGAAUUUAACUGCCACCACAAUAAAAAAUAAUAAUGACUUAAAAGGCA